rnacentral:rRNA from 1 species
UACGUAGGGUGCGAGCGUUGCCCGGAUUUAUUGGGCGUAAAGGGCGCGUAGGCGGCCACGCACGUCCGUUGUGAAAUCGCCCGGCUCAACUGGGCGGGGUCGGCGGAUACGGCGUGGCUGGAGCAAGCUAGGGGGCAAUGGAAUUCCGGGUGUAGCGGUGGAAUGCGUAGAGAUCCGGAAGAACACCGGUGGCGAAGGCGGCCUGCUGGGGCAGUUGCUGACACUGAGGCGCGACAGCGUGGGGGAGCAAACAGGG